rnacentral:misc_RNA from 1 species
AAACUGCGAUAAGUAGUGUGAAUUGCAUUUAGUGAAUCAUCGAAUCUUUGAACGCACCCUGCACUCACUGGUAUUCCGGUGAGUACGCCCGUUUCAGUAUCAUUGAAAACACACAAUCAAAACAUUUUCUUUGGUUUGAUUGGCUUUGGGUCUAUCAAAAAGUUUGGCUUGUUUCUUACAAGCCAAGCGGCCUGAAAUAUAUUGUCUGGCUAAUUGCAUCGUUGAUGAUCGCUAUUAGACUUUGGCUUUUUUAAAUGAACUGGAGGUUGAUUAACCAGUUUUAGCUUUAGUCAAAUGGUCAUUGUAAAAAAAAUCUCGAUCUUGGCUAGGUGUUUAUAGCCGAAAAUUUUUUUUUGGCUAUAACCGAAACCAAUAUAAUCACAUUUAGUUAUCGAUCUGAAAUCAGGUGGGACUACCCGCUGAACUUAAGC